AUUGAACGCUGGCGGCAGGCCUAACACAUGCAAGUCGAACGAGUGGCGGACGGGUGAGUAAUGUCUGGGAAACUGCCCGAUGGAGGGGGAUAACUACUGGAAACGGUAGCUAAUACCGCAUACCAUCGGAUGUGCCCAGAUGGGAUUAGCUAGUAGGUGGGGUAACGGCUCACCUAGGCGACGAUCCCUAGCUGGUCUGAGAGGGCGACCGGCCACAUUGGGACUGAGAUACGGCCCAAACUCCUACGGGAGGCAGCAGUGGGGAAUAUUGCACAAGGGGGGAAACCCUGAUGCAGCCAUGCCGCGUGUAUGAAGAAGGCCUUCGGGUUGUAAAGUACUUUCAGCGAGGAGGCGUUACUCGCAGAAGAAGCACCGGCUAACUCCGUGCCAGCCGCCGCGGUAAUUC
rnacentral:rRNA from 1 species